rnacentral:rRNA from 1 species
UAAACUAGGAUUAGAUACCCUAUUAUUGUAUAAGUUAAUUUUUUUACUUAGGUAUUAAUAGUUAUGUUCUUUAAAUCUAAAGAAUUUGGCGGUGUUUUAGUCUAUUUAGAGGAAUUUGUUUUAUAAUCGAUAAUCCUCGUUUUAUCUUGCUUUAUUUUAAUCAGUAUGUAUACCGCCGUUAUAAGUUUAUUUUAUUAGAAUAAAAAUUUACUGUAUUUUUUAUUAUAAAUUAUUUCAGGUCAAGGUGCAGCUAAUAAUAAAGUUUUAAUGAAUUACAAUAUUAUUUGGAUAAACGGAUUUAAUUUUUAAAAAUUUAAUGAAGGUGGAUUUAAUUGUAAAAUUAAUAAUAAUGUUUUAUUGAAUUUAGCUCUAAAAUAAGUACACAUCG